CAACACACACGGGCGAUGGUAUGCUUAUCACCAACACACACGGACGAUGGUAUGCUUAUCACCAACACACACGGGCGAUGCUUGAACAGAUAAUCAACAAGAACCUACCACCAGCCGAAAAUAUAAGCCAGCAAUCCAAAGAGAAAUGCUGCGGCUUGGAGAGCGCCGUGAGAAAGAAUGAUCCCAGU